UACGGGGGGGGCAAGCGUUGUUCGGAAUUACUGGGCGUAAAGGGCUCGUAGGCGGCCAACUAAGUCAUACGUGAAAUCCCUCAGCUUAACUGGGGAACUGCGUGUGAUACUGGAUGGCUUGGAUUUGGGAGAGGGAUGCGGAAUUCCAGGUGUAGCGGUGAAAUGCGUAGAUAUCUGGAAGAACACCGGUGGCGAAGGCGGCAUCCUGGACCAAUAUUGACGCUGAGGAGCGAAAGCCAGGGGAGCAAACGGG
rnacentral:rRNA from 1 species